UACAGAGGUCUCAAGCGUUGUUCGGAUUCAUUGGGCGUAAAGGGUGCGUAGGCGGCGUGGUAAGUCGGGUGUGAAAUCUCGGAGCUUAACUCCGAAACUGCAUUCGAUACUGCCGUGCUUGAGGACUGGAGAGGAGACUGGAAUUUACGGUGUAGCGGUGAAAUGCGUAGAUAUCGUAAGGAAGACCAGUGGCGAAGGCGGGUCUCUGGACAGUUCCUGAUGCUGAGGCACGAAGGCCAGGGGAGCAAACGGG
rnacentral:rRNA from 1 species